rnacentral:rRNA from 1 species
UGGGGAAUAUUGCAGCAAUGGGCGAAAGCCUGAUGCAGCAACGCCGCGUGAGUGAUGAAGGCCUUCGGGUUGUAAAGUCUCUGUCUUUUGGGACGAUAAUGACGGUACCAAAGGAGGAAGCCACGGCUAACCUACGUUGCCAGCAGCCGCGGUAAUACGGUAGGUGGCAAGCGUUGUCCGGAUUUACUGGGCGUAAAGGAUGCGUAGGCGGAUUUUUAAGUGAGAUGGUGAAAACCCGUAGCUUAACUUGGGGACUGCAUUUCAUACUGGGAAAUCUAUGAGUGCGGGAGAGGAGAAUGGAAUUCCUAGUGUAGCGGUGAAAUGCGUAGAGAUUAGGAAGAACACCAGUGGCGAAGGCGAUUCUCUGGACCGUAACUGACGCUGAGGCAUGAAAGCGUGGGGUAGCAAACAGGAUUAGAUACCCUGGUAGUCCACGCCGUAAACGAUGAGUACUA